GGACAAAUUGUCGGAGCUGAAGAAAAAGUUUGCCAAUGGAUUUGUGCAGUUUCAGCAAAAAUUGCUGAAAACCGACGAGCCUAAGCACAACAAGACCGCUUCGCUCAUCGAGCAAGAGUCUAUAGAUAGCUCGAAGCUUCUGGAUCCGGCAAUGUACAAUGUGGUGGUGGAUGUGUUGAGUUCUGUGCAAUCGAUUCGGCAGGAUUUGACGUCACAGGAGCAUUUGAAGAGGAUAAGAAAGGAAUGGCAGAUGCUUGCAAGAAUGCUCGAAAAAAUCAUAAUGUGGAUAUUCAUCAUUUCCACAGUCGCAUUUGCGUCCUUCAUGCUCUACGACACCCAGGAUCCGCCGAUUAUCACAAAUGAAGUUAUGCGUUCAAAAUCCACGUGAUAAGUGAAUCUCGACAUAUUCAUUAAUGUACAUAAAUAAAGUAUUGAUUC
rnacentral:misc_RNA from 1 species